rnacentral:lncRNA from 1 species
GUUACGUGUCCAACAUCUAAUUCUAGUCUCUAGCGCAAGUGAAAAAGAACUUGAUAGUUGGUAUUCGAGAUCCUAAAUUCGAAUUUUAAUUGAUUCACAUUUUCAGCUAAAUUUAUUUUUAAAAUAAAGUAAACGAAGCGGCUAGCCUGCUAACCUAUCUCUCUCAGAAAAAAAAACACAUAAUUCUAUCAGAUUUCAAAAUGUAAAGAAAUUUAUUCUUUCAUCAGAGUUU